GUUUGAUUCUGGCUCAGGAUGAACGCUGGCGGCAUGCCUAAUACAUGCAAGUCGAACGGAGUGAAGCCUUCGGGUUUCAUUCAGUGGCGAACGGGUGAGUAAUACGCAGGGAACCUGGCCAUGGCAGGGGGAUACACUCCGGAAACGGAGCAUAAGACCCCAUAGGCAGUAAGGCGGCAUCGCCUUACUGUUAAAGAAAGCUGAAAGGCUUUGGCGAUGGAUGGACCUGCGGUGCAUUAGCUUGUUGGUGAGGCAACGGCUUACCAAGGCGAUGAUGCAUAGCCGGCCUGAGAGGGCGGACGGCCACACUGGGACUGAGACACGGCCCAGACUCCUGCGGGAGGCAGCAGUAGGGAAUUUUCGUCAAUGGGCGCAAGCCUGAACGAGCAAUGCCGCGUGAGUGAGGAAGGUCUUCGGACUGUAAAGCUCUGUUGCCGGGGAAAAAGGGGAAAUGCAGGAAAUGGCAUUUCAUGGAUGGUACCCGGCCAGAAAGCCACGGCUAACUACGUGCCAGCAGCCGCGGUAAUACGUAGGUGGCGAGCGUUAUCCGGAAUGAUUGGGCGUAAAGGGUGCGCAGGCGGUCUGUUAAGUCUGAAGGCAAAGGGAUGAGCUCAACUCAUUUAUGAUUCAGAAACUGGCAGACUUGAGGACAGGAGAGGGCGGUGGAACUCCAUGUGUAGCGGUAAAAUGCGCAGAGAUAUGGAAGAACACCAGUGGCGAAGGCGGCCGCCUGGCCUGUGACUGACGCUGAGGCACGAAAGCGUGGGGAGCAAAUAGGAUUAGAUACCCUAGUAGUCCACGCCGUAAACGAUGAGGAGCAGGUGUUGGGAGUGAAAUCUCAGUGCCGAAGCCAACGCAGUGACUCCUCCGCCUGGGGAGUAUGCACGCAAGUGUGAAACUCAAAGGAAUUGACGGGGGCCCGCACAAGCGGUGGAGUAUGUGGUUUAAUUCGAAGCAACGCGAAGAACCUUACCAGGUUUUGACAUCGGAUGCGAAGGUGCAGAGAUGCGCUGGAGGCUAUCAUCCAGACAGGUGGUGCAUGGUUGUCGUCAGCUCGUGUCGUGAGAUGUUCAGUUAAGUCUGGCAACGAGCGCAACCCCCGUGGUAUGUUACUAACGCUUAGGGCGAGGACUCAUAUCAGACUGCCGGUGACAAACCGGAGGAAGGCGGGGAUGACGUCAAAUCAUCAUGCCCCUUAUGACCUGGGCUACACACGUACUACAAUGGCGUCUACAGAGGGAAGCGACCCUGAGAAGGGAAGCGAAACCGGAAAAGGGCGUCCCAGUUCGGAUUGAAGUCUGCAACCCGACUUCAUGAAGAUGGAAUCGCUAGUAAUCGCGGAUCAGCAUGCCGCGGUGAAUACGUUCCCGGGCCUUGUACACACCGCCCGUCAAACCAUGGAAGCCGGCAACGCCCGAAGCCGGUGGCAUAACCUUUUAGGAGUGAGCCGUCGAAGGCGGGGCCGAUGACUGGGGUUAAGUCGUAACAAGGUACCC
rnacentral:rRNA from 1 species